rnacentral:rRNA from 1 species
AUUGAACGCUGGCGGUAUGCUUAACACAUGCAAGUCGAACGGAAACGAUACUAGCUUGCUAGUAGGCGUCGAGUGGCGGACGGGUGAGUAACGCGUAGGAAUCUGCCUGAUAGUGGGGGAUAGCCCGAAGAAAUUCGGAUUAAUACCGCAUAAUCUAUUCGUAGUAAAGUGGGGGACUUUCGAGCCUCACGCUAUCAGAUGAGCCUGCGUAAGAUUAGCUUGUUGGUAGGGUAAAAGCCUACCAAGGCGACGAUCUUUAGCUGGUCUGAGAGGAUGAUCAGCCACAUCGGGACUGAGACACGGCCCGAACUCCUACGGGAGGCAGCAGUGGGGAAUAUUGGACAAUGGGGGCAACCCUGAUCCAGCAAUACCGCGUGUGUGAAGAAGGCCUGAGGGCUGUAAAGCACUUUCAAUUGUGAAGAAAAGUUAGCGGUUAAUAACCGUUAGCCUUGACGUUAACUUUAGAAGAAGCACCGGCUAACUCCGUGCCAGCAGCCGCGGUAAUACGGAGGGUGCAAGCGUUAAUCGGAAUUACUGGGCGUAAAGCGUGCGUAGGCGGUUUAUUAAGUCAGAUGUGAAAGCCCCGGGCUUAACCUGGGAACUGCAUUUGAAACUGGUCAACUAGAGUAUGGUAGAGGAAAGUGGAAUUUCUGGUGUAGCGGUGAAAUGCGUAGAUAUCAGAAGGAACAUCAAUGGCGAAGGCAGCUUUCUGGACCAAUACUGACGCUGAGGUACGAAAGCGUGGGUAGCAAACAGGAUUAGAUACCCUGGUAGUCCACGCCGUAAACGAUGAUAACUAGCCGUUGGGGGGAUUUACCCUUUAGUGGCGAAGCUAACGCGUUAAGUUAUCCGCCUGGGGAGUACGGCCGCAAGGUUAAAACUCAAAGGAAUUGACGGGGACCCGCACAAGCGGUGGAGCAUGUGGUUUAAUUCGAUGCAACGCGAAGAACCUUACCUGGUCUUGACAUCCUGCGAACUUUCUAGAAAUAGAUUGGUGCCUUCGGGAACGCAGUGACAGGUGCUGCAUGGCUGUCGUCAGCUCGUGUCGUGAGAUGUUGGGUUAAGUCCCGUAACGAGCGCAACCCCUAUCCUUAUUUGCCAGCACAUCAUGGUGGGAACUAUAAGGAGACUGCCGGUGAUAAACCGGAGGAAGGCGGGGACGACGUCAAGUCAUCAUGGCCCUUACGACCAGGGCUACACACGUGCUACAAUGGGAAGGACAAAGAGCCGCGAAGCCGCGAGGUGUAGCUAAUCUCAUAAACCUUUUCGUAGUCCGGAUUGGAGUCUGCAACUCGACUCCAUGAAGUCGGAAUCGCUAGUAAUCGUAGAUCAGAAUGCUACGGUGAAUACGUUCCCGGGUCU